rnacentral:rRNA from 3 species
UUAAGUUAGAAAGGGCGCACGGUGGAUGCCUUGACACUAGGAGUCGAUGAAGGACGGGACUAACGCCGAUAUGCUUCGGGGAGCUGUAAGUAAGCUUUGAUCCGAAGAUUUCCGAAUGGGGAAACCCACCAUACGUAAUGGUAUGGUAUCCUUAUCUGAAUACAUAGGGUAAGGAAGACAGACCCAGGGAACUGAAACAUCUAAGUACCUGGAGGAAGAGAAAGCAAAUGCGAUUUCCUGAGUAGCGGCGAGCGAAACGGAACAUAGCCCAAACCAAGAGGCUUGCCUCUUGGGGUUGUAGGACAUUCUAUACGGAGUUACAAAGGAACGAGGUAGACGAAGCGACCUGGAAAGGUCCGUCGUAGAGGGUAACAACCCCGUAGUCGAAACUUCGUUCUCUCUUGAAUGUAUCCUGAGUACGGCGGAACACGUGAAAUUCCGUCGGAAUCUGGGAGGACCAUCUCCCAAGGCUAAAUACUCCCUAGUGAUCGAUAGUGAACCAGUACCGUGAGGGAAAGGUGAAAAGCACCCCGGAAGGGGAGUGAAAGAGAUCCUGAAACCGUGUGCCUACAAAUAGUCAGAGCCCGUUAACGGGUGAUGGCGUGCCUUUUGUAGAAUGAACCGGCGAGUUACGAUCCCGUGCGAGGUUAAGCUGAAGAGGCGGAGCCGCAGCGAAAGCGAGUCUGAAUAGGGCGUUUAGUACGUGGUCGUAGACCCGAAACCAGGUGAUCUACCCAUGUCCAGGGUGAAGUUCAGGUAACACUGAAUGGAGGCCCGAACCCACGCACGUUGAAAAGUGCGGGGAUGAGGUGUGGGUAGCGGAGAAAUUCCAAUCGAACCUGGAGAUAGCUGGUUCUCCCCGAAAUAGCUUUAGGGCUAGCCUUAAGUGUAAGAGUCUUGGAGGUAGAGCACUGAUUGGACUAGGGGUCCUCAUCGGAUUACCGAAUUCAGUCAAACUCCGAAUGCCAAUGACUUAUCCUUAGGAGUCAGACUGCGAGUGAUAAGAUCCGUAGUCAAAAGGGAAACAGCCCAGACCGCCAGCUAAGGUCCCAAAGUGUGUAUUAAGUGGAAAAGGAUGUGGAGUUGCUUAGACAACUAGGAUGUUGGCUUAGAAGCAGCCACCAUUUAAAGAGUGCGUAAUAGCUCACUAGUCGAGUGACUCUGCGCCGAAAAUGUACCGGGGCUAAAUACACCACCGAAGCUGCGGAUUGAUACCGAAUGGUAUCAGUGGUAGGGGAGCGUUCUAAGGACAGUGAAGUCAGACCGGAAGGACUGGUGGAGUGCUUAGAAGUGAGAAUGCCGGUAUGAGUAGCGAAAGACGGGUGAGAAUCCCGUCCACCGAAUGCCUAAGGUUUCCUGAGGAAGGCUCGUCCGCUCAGGGUUAGUCAGGACCUAAGCCGAGGCCGACAGGCGUAGGCGAUGGACAACAGGUUGAUAUUCCUGUACCACCUCUUUAUCGUUUGAGCAAUGGAGGGACGCAGAAGGAUAGAAGAAGCGUGCGAUUGGUUGUGCACGUCCAAGCAGUUAGGCUGAUAAGUAGGCAAAUCCGCUUAUCGUAAAGGCUGAGCUGUGAUGGGGAAGCUCCUUAUGGAGCGAAGUCUUUGAUUCCCCGCUGCCAAGAAAAGCUUCUAGCGAGAUAAAAGGUGCCUGUACCGCAAACCGACACAGGUAGGCGAGGAGAGAAUCCUAAGGUGUGCGAGAGAACUCUGGUUAAGGAACUCGGCAAAAUGACCCCGUAACUUCGGGAGAAGGGGUGCUUUCUUAACGGAAAGCCGCAGUGAAUAGGCCCAAGCGACUGUUUAGCAAAAACACAGCUCUCUGCGAAGCCGUAAGGCGAAGUAUAGGGGGUGACACCUGCCCGGUGCUGGAAGGUUAAGGAGAGGGGUUAGCGUAAGCGAAGCUCUGAACUGAAGCCCCAGUAAACGGCGGCCGUAACUAUAACGGUCCUAAGGUAGCGAAAUUCCUUGUCGGGUAAGUUCCGACCCGCACGAAAGGUGUAACGAUUUGGGCACUGUCUCAACCAGAGACUCGGUGAAAUUAUAGUACCUGUGAAGAUGCAGGUUACCCGCGACAGGACGGAAAGACCCCGUGGAGCUUUACUGUAGCCUGAUAUUGAAUUUUGGUACAGUUUGUACAGGAUAGGCGGGAGCCAUUGAAACCGGAGCGCUAGCUUCGGUGGAGGCGCUGGUGGGAUACCGCCCUGACUGUAUUGAAAUUCUAACCUACGGGUCUUAUCGACCCGGGAGACAGUGUCAGGUGGGCAGUUUGACUGGGGCGGUCGCCUCCUAAAGUGUAACGGAGGCGCCCAAAGGUUCCCUCAGAAUGGUUGGAAAUCAUUCGUAGAGUGCAAAGGCAUAAGGGAGCUUGACUGCGAGACCUACAAGUCGAGCAGGGACGAAAGUCGGGCUUAGUGAUCCGGUGGUUCCGCAUGGAAGGGCCAUCGCUCAACGGAUAAAAGCUACCCCGGGGAUAACAGGCUUAUCUCCCCCAAGAGUCCACAUCGACGGGGAGGUUUGGCACCUCGAUGUCGGCUCAUCGCAUCCUGGGGCUGUAGUCGGUCCCAAGGGUUGGGCUGUUCGCCCAUUAAAGCGGUACGCGAGCUGGGUUCAGAACGUCGUGAGACAGUUCGGUCCCUAUCCGUCGUGGGCGUAGGAAAUUUGAGAGGAGCUGUCCUUAGUACGAGAGGACCGGGAUGGACGCACCGCUGGUGUACCAGUUGUUCUGCCAAGGGCAUAGCUGGGUAGCUAUGUGCGGAAGGGAUAAGUGCUGAAAGCAUCUAAGCAUGAAGCCCCCCUCAAGAUGAGAUUUCCCAUAGCGUAAGCUAGUAAGAUCCCUGAAAGAUGAUCAGGUUGAUAGGUUCGAGGUGGAAGCAUGGUGACAUGUGGAGCUGACGAAUACUAAUAGAUCGAGGACUUAACCAU